UACGUAGGGGGCAAGCGUUGUCCGGAAUCAUUGGGCGUAAAGCGCGUGUAGGCGGUUCGGUAAGUCUGCUGUGAAAGUCCAGGGCUCAACCCUGGGAUGCCGGUGGAUACUGUCGGGCUAGAGUGCGGAAGAGGCGAGUGGAAUUCCCGGUGUAGCGGUGAAAUGCGCAGAUAUCGGGAGGAACACCAAUUGCGAAGGCAGCUCGCUGGGACGCCACUGACGCUGAGACGCGAAAGCGUGGGGAGCAAACAGG
rnacentral:rRNA from 1 species